rnacentral:rRNA from 1 species
UACGUAGGGUGCAAGCGUUGUCCGGAAUUAUUGGGCGUAAAGAGCUCGUAGGCGGUUUGUUGCGUCGGCUGUGAAAUCCCGAGGCUCAACCUCGGGUCUGCAGUCGAUACGAGCAAACUAGAGUGUUGCAGGGGAGAUUGGAAUUCCUGGUGUAGCGGUGGAAUGCGCAGAUAUCAGGAGGAACACCGAUGGCGAAGGCAGGUCACCGGGCCGCAACUGACGCUGAGGAGCGAAAGCAUGGGGAGCGAACAGG